rnacentral:lncRNA from 1 species
AUGUGGCAACGGCUUCUUCUGAUGGCCACCUUACUCUUUGCUCCACUUCCAGUAAAUUCUAUAAAAGAGCUUCCAGGAGUGAAAAACUAUGAAGUGGUUUAUCCUAAAAGACUUCAUCCACGACAUAAAAGAGAGGUCAAGGAUCCAGGUCAACAGGAAAAUUUUGAAACUGAAUUGAAGUAUGAAAUGACAGUUAAUGGGAAAAUCGCAGUGCUUUACUUGAAAAAAAACAAGAAUCUCCUCGCACCAGGCUACACAGAAACAUAUUAUAAUUCCAGUGGAAAGGCAGUCACCACGAGCCCACAGAUCAUGGAUAACUGUUAUUAUCAAGGACACAUUGUUAAUGAAAAAGUUUCUGAUGCUAGCAUUAGCACAUGCAGAGGUCUAAGGGGUUACUUCAGUCAGGGAGAUCAAAAGUACUUCAUAAAACCUUUAAGCCUCACAAACCAAGAUGAGCAAGAACACGCACUCUUCAAGCACAAUCCUGAAGAACAGAAGACUAAUAGCUCCUGUGGGAUGAACGACACAAUAUGGGCACCUGGAAUUCAUCUGAAGGCAAUCUCAUCUACCAGUCUGGCUACAUCCAAAGACCAAAAGGCUUGGGAAAAAAAGAAAUAUGUAGAAUAUUAUUUGGUCCUGGACCAUGGUGAGUUUAAAAGGCACAAUCAAGAUCAAGAGGAAAUAAGAAAGAUGGUAUUUGAGAUGGUCAAUUACAUCAACAUGCUUUAUAAAAAGCUCAAUACUUACGUGGCCUUAAUUGGGAUGGAGAUCUGGAAUGACAAAGACAAGAUAGAUAUAUCUUCCAAAGCAAGCCUCACUUUAGAAAAUUUUGCUAAAUGGAGGACAGCUGUCCUCCUGAAGAGAAAGCACCAUGAUGUUGCUCAGCUACUCACGACAGUAGCGUUUUCUGGAACAACUGUGGGCCUUGCUUACCUGUCUACAAUGUGCUCUCCUGAUUUUUCUGCUGGCGUCAUUAUGGAUCACAGUGACAACGCACUUCAGGUUGCAGGAACCAUGGCCCAUGAAAUGGGCCAUAACUUCGGAAUGUUUCAUGACAACUACAAUUGCAAGUGCCCUUCUAUAGAAUGUGUGAUGGACGGAUCAUUAAGCAAAAAUAUACCUACAGCCUUCAGUUCCUGCAGCCGGGCCAGCUUUGAAAAAUUCUUUGAAGAUAAAUUAUCCAAUUGCCUCUUUAAUGUUCCACUGCCUACAGAUAUCAUAUCCACCCCGAUCUGUGGGAACCAGUUGGUAGAAAUGGGAGAAGACUGUGAUUGUGGGACCCCUGAGGAAUGUACCAACAUUUGCUGUGAUGCAAAAACAUGUAAAGUGAAAGAAAAUGUUCAAUGUGCAUUCGGAGAAUGCUGUGAAAAAUGCCAGUUAAAAAAGGCUGGUGAGGUGUGCAGACCAGCAAAAGAUGAGUGUGACCUGCCUGAAAUGUGUGAUGGCAAAUCUACUCUUUGCCCCAGUGAUCGAUACCAAAUCAAUGGCUUCCCUUGCCAGGAUGGGAAAGGCUACUGCCGGAUGGGAACGUGCCCCACCCUGGAGCAGCAGUGCACUGACCUCUGGGGACCAGGAGCCCAGGUUGCAGAUAAGUCAUGUUUUAGACACAAUGAAGUUGGGUCAACUCAUGGAUACUGUCGAAAAGUGAACAACACACACAUUCCCUGUAAAGCAGAAGAUGUCAUGUGUGGGAAGUUGUUCUGUCAUGGUGGCUCAGAUUAUCUGCCCUGGAAAGGACGGAUAGCCACAUUCCUGACAUGUAAACUAUUUGCUCCUGAAGACAGCAGAGAAGAAAUUGGCAUGGUAAUCAAUGGAACCAAAUGUGGAGAUAAGAAGGUUUGCAUUAAUGCAGAAUGCGUGGAUAUGGAAAGAACUUACAAAUCAGCAAAUUGCUCCUCUAAGUGCAAAGGACACACUGUGUGUGACCACGAGCUCCAGUGUCAGUGUAAAGAAGGAUGGGCCCCUCCUGACUGCUCUAGUUCUUCCACGGUCUUCAACUUCUCCAUUGUGGUUGGGGUGCUGUUCCCUGUGGCUGUCAUAUUUGUGGUGGUUGCUAUAGUAAUCCGAUGCCGAAGCUCCAGAGAGAAGCAGAAGUUAGUCCAGAGGCCACUGUCUACCACUGAGACCGGCCUACACAAUCAGAAGAAGAAACCACAGAUGGCGAAGACUGUUCAACCCCAAGAGAGAAGGAGGGGGAAGAUAAAGCUGGACAGUGAAGUAGGGGAGAUAAAACUGGACAACUGGGGAGAUCACAGCUUUGUGCUGGGCAGGACUUCUCAGCUACCUGCAGUAGCCAGCAUGUCUUUAGUCCUGCUCGCCAUCCUUGGGCUCAUCAUUCAGACUCAAGCAAUAGCCAUAAGACAAACACUUGAAUCAGACCUGUAUGAAGUAGUUCAUCCUAAGAAACUACACAUUUUACGCAAAAGAGAGAUACAGAAUAACCAAACAGAGAAGCAUGUCAAAGAGGAAAGAUAUGAACCUGAACUUCAAUAUCAGAUCAUGUUAAAUGGAGAAGAAGUCAUUCUUUCCCUACAAAAAGCUGAGCAUCUCCUGGGACCAGACUACACUGAAACAUAUUACUCACCUGGUGGAGAAGAAAUCACCACAAGACCUCAGAACAUGGAACACUGCUACUAUAAAGGACACAUCCUAAAUGAAAAGGACUCUGUUGCCAGCAUUAGUACUUGUGAUGGACUGAGGGGCUAUUUUACACAUCAUGAUCAAAGAUAUAUGAUAAAGCCUCUGAAAAGCACAGACCGAGAAGAACAUGCUGUACUCACAUACAACCAGGAGGAGCUCAACCCAGCUAAUCACACCUGUGGUGUAAGAAAUGUUGGCAGGAAACAGGACCUUAUUCGAACCUCAAGGUCACUCAAAAUUUCAGAGAAAGAAGAAUUUCUUCAGGCUGAGAAAUACAUUGAUCUGCUUUUGGUGCUGGAUAAUGCCUUUUAUAAGAUGUAUAAUGAGAAUAUAACUGUGAUAAGAAGCUUUGUGUUUGAUGUGAUAAACCUACUCAACGUGAUUUACAAUACCAUAGAUGUUCAAGUGUCCUUGGUAGGUAUGGAAAUAUGGUCUAACAGUGACAAGAUAAAGGUGGUACCCAACACAGGUGACACCUUUAACAACUUUCUGAAAUGGCAUCGUUCUAACCUGGGGAAAAUGAAGACCCAUGACCACGCUCAGCUACUCAGUGGAGUUGACUUCAAAACUCGAAUUUCAGGACUGGCAGCCUCGAAUUCCUUGUGCUCCCCAUCAUCCGUCGCUGUUAUUGAGGCUAAGAGAAAGAACAGUGUCUCUCUUGUAGCAGUGAUGUCACAUGAAUUAGGUCAUGUCCUCGGUAUGCCUGAUGUUCCAUAUAACACCAAGUGUCCCUCUGGGAGUUGUGUGAUGAAUAAAUAUCUAAGUUCAAAAUUCCCAAAGGAUUUCAGUACACGUAGUCGCUCACAUUUUAAAAAAUACAUGUUAUCUCAAAAGCCAAGAUGCCUACUGCAAGCAUUGGUUCCUAAAAAUAGGACAAAACCAGUGUGUGGGAACCAACUUUUGGAAGUAGGUGAAGACUGUGAUUGUGGCUCUUCUGAGGAAUGUACCAAUCCUUGCUGUGAAGCCAUGACCUGUAUGUUAAAAAGUGAAGUUAAUUGUGGAAAAGAGACUGAGCAAUAACAUAGGAUGAAUCCAAACAUCUGCUUCAGUGAAAUGCUACUUGCCAGGACAAGAAUCAAGAAAUCCAAACAUGCCAGGAAUCUUACAUAGUCUUACCAUUGUCUGUAACUGUAUUUUGCUUUUCACUUGUCCUUAUACUUCCUGUAAUUUUUACCUCUCC